AAAAUAAUAAAUUUUAGUUUCGACCUAAUACAAAGAUAUUAAAAACAAUAUCUUAUUUUU
rnacentral:tRNA from 1 species